GGGCUAUCAAGACUGGCUCCUUUUCACACCAGGAGGACCCGGAUUAGGAACGGAUCCACCUGCAGCCGGGAAUGUCCCACUCUGAGAAUUGGAGCAGCUCUGGGAGCUCUAAAGAUAGGAUGGUGAUUACUGCAGAAUUGCAAUGGAUUGGGUUGAUGGAAGAAGACCCCCAUCCGCAGUCUAAUUGGGCUGCGGGUAAAAAACAAAGAUGUGGCACGUUUGGGGAGUAAAAUCUGGCUGGCACGUGUUCGCCCGCUUCUGGACUUCUGGCUCUUCUCUCAGUCAGCUUGGCGUUGGAGUCCCCUGGGCAUAGGCAUCUCCCCUGUCAUCUCCCUGAGGGAGGGACCUGGUGCCUUCAUCUCUGAAGCUUCCUGGCGUGCAGCACAGAACCUGCGUCCGAGGGUUGGAUUAGACCUUGGAGAAGUCAUGUCUUCUCUCCGACCCUUGACUUCCCUAGCUGUAAAAUGGGCAUAACGCCUUCCGUCCUUUCUCCUUCCCAAGCUUUUAAAGAAG